AUCAGUGACCCAAACAAUGCUGGCAACAUCGGCACCACGGUGGCCGUGCCAGCAGGCGCAGAUCCAAGCACAGUAGCAAAAGUAGCAAUAGAGAAUGCAGUGCAGCAGAGAACAAGUGUGCCCUCUCCGCUUCCUGAAAACAACACUCAGCAGCCUGUAGCAGAGCAGACUCCUCCCCCAGCGGAGCAGGCCCCCCCAGGGAACCAAUCAGAGUUCACAAGCUCCCGCCCCCUCUCAAGAUCAAGCACGUAAACCUGGACAGAACUUUAAAUGUUUGUGGCAGGCAUGCAGACGAUGGUUUGACACCCAGGCCAGUGCCUCUGGGAGGGAUGUGGCCCGUUUCCUCGUCAAAGACUAUCCUUCAUUACACACCUGCAGG